UCCUUAGAUGUCCUGGGCCGCACGCGCGUUACACUGAUGCAUUCAACGAGCUUAUAACCUUGGCCGAGAGGCCUGGGCAAUCUUGUUAACGUGCAUCGUGAUAGGGAUAGAUUAUUGAAAUUAUUAAUCUUGAACGAGGAAUUCCUAGUAAACGCAGAUCAUCAAUCUGCAUUGAUUACGUCCCUGCCCUUUGUACACACCGCCCGUCGCACCUACCGAUUGGAUGGUCCGGUGAAGCCUCGGGAUUGUGGUUCUUGCCGCUUUAUUGUAGCGUGACCGCGAGAACUUGUCUAAACCUUAUCAUCUAGAGGAAGGUGAAGUCGUAACA
rnacentral:rRNA from 1 species